AUCAACUAAGAUUAACUGGGUACCUUUCUUCACAAGAUUAUAUAUAUCUGAAUGGUGCUCAAAUAUCCUGAACUAUCAAAGAUGUUUAACAAUUGUGGAACAACUUUCAACACUUGGAGCUCACUCCACCUUACAGGACAGCUCUUCGGUGCGGAGGAUCAGACUGUUCGGUCUUCUAAGUCCAGGGCAGGCGUUGCUCUGGUCAAUUGUGAUUUAUGAAUUAAUUGAAUUUAAGAAGAACUCUCAAGUCUGUCUGUGUUCCUAUCAAAGUCACCAUCUGUUAUUACUAAUCAGACACAGCUCUGUACACAGGAAGGAUUAAAAUUUUCAAUGUUUUUUUUUGCUGUUAAUAAUUGUAUUAGAACAGAAGAUAAAGAAAAAUAUUAUCUGUUAACCUCAAAAAUUUGUUGAGAUUAAUUUGACAGCUCUUAAAUCAACAAAAUGGUAUUAUUAUCUGACCUCAAAACUGCACACCUGUAAAUUGACACUCUGGCACCAGGUAUCUUGUUUUGCGAAGUGUUCAUAUUGUUUUCAGCUGAUUUCAAAAGGAUUCUGCAUCAUUUAAUUUCACCCUGCAUUUACGAAAUUAUAUGUGGGAACAGAAAAAUUCUUUGAAACACUUUUUUGAAUAAAACAUUUUGGGCCCAGUUUCCCUUAUUGUUGGCUAUUUGAUAGUGCUCAUAUAACAAAUGUUUAACAAUAUAAUAUGUUACAACAAUAAGAACAGUUUAGUGAAGGUGAUCUUGUGUUUCAGAUUUUGUGUAAGGGACAAUGUAAAUUAGUCCGUAAGACAUACAUAGGAAUAAAACUAGGACAUUCAGCCCAGCUAGUCCUUUCCACUAUUCCAUCAUGCCUGAUUUAUUAUUUCUCUCAACCCCUUUCUCCUGCCUUCUCCCCAUAAGCUUUAACACCCUGAUUAAUCAAGAACCUAUCAAACUCCACCUUAAAUAUAUACAGUGACUUGGCCUGCUCAGUUGCCUGUGGCAAUGAAUUCCACAAAUUCACCUGGCUAAAGGAAUUUUUCCUCAUCUCAGUUCUAAAUGGAUAUCCCUCUAUUCUGAGACUGUGCUCUCUGGACCUAGGCUUCUUCUACUAUAGGGAACACCCUCUCCACAUCCUCUUUAUCCAGACCUUUCAAUAAUCGAUAGGUUGCAAUGAGAUUCCCCCCUCACUGUUUAAACUAGCGACUACAGGCCCAAAGCUAUCAAAUGCUCCUCAUACGUUAACCAUUCAUUCCUGAGUAUCAUUCAGUGCUUUUGGGCUUGAAACAGAGCAGGACUGUGCUUGGGGGUAUCAGUUUAUAGGCAAAAGGGAUUCAUUUAGUUACCUUAGGUUUAAUUGCUAGUUUAAUAAGUGCGGCACAAUACUUUGGGUCAUAGGGUCUAACCCUAUGCUGCGCUUGUUCUAUGUUUUUUGUAUCAGGAAAUUUAACUCUGAAUUUUAUGGUGGGAUUUUCAUUUAUGUCCAGUCAUUUUCUUUUCUCUCAUUUGUAAAACUGGUCCAACUGAUACAUCAAGUAGUGCAGAUCCCAAUGUUUGGAACUCAGUUUUGAAAAAAGGACUGAAUUUCAAACUCACUGGUUUGAGAAAAAAACAUUUUCUUUCCUCAUUUACAGAACAACCAUAUUUUUUUUUACUAUUUUUGUCCCCUUAAACCAAGCAAUUUAUAGUAAGAAAUUCAAAAUUGAAUUGUUUAUUCGUUCCAAUUUCUGUCACCUCCUGCAAACGUCUGGACUAGUCUGACCUUUAAGAUGAAGUUCAGGGUCACACUUAGCUUCCUAGGCUCAGUAUCUUUCCAGCUGGCUGCUGUUGGUUUUGGCCAUAUCUUGCAUUCUGCUGAUCACUGCUGAAUCAUUGCAAUUGGAUUGUUGAAAUCUUUUCCAACAUACAUUCAUUCUUUAAUGGUGUUAGGGCGUAUUCUGGAGUUAAGGUUUAUAGCAAAUACUAAUUUCAACAGCAGCCAGUCUUCAAACGUGGAUUGUAGGUUGAAUUUAAAAGGCAGCUCUGAACAACGGUCUUCCUGGAGCUGCUUUUUGAGGUUGAUUGCAAACAAAGAACCACUCGAUUUGAUCGCAGAAGCCUACAUAUGCAUGAAUAUGACCCAGCGUCAGUGGGAAUUAACUUUCAUUUUGGGUGUCUGGAGUGUGGGGGUAAAGAUGGACAUGUUUGAAAAUUAUAUGUAAUUCAAAGGAAACACAGUAGAUACAUGGUAACUAUGGAACUAUCAUGCUGUUACGUUUGAUCUUUAGCAUAUAAAACUGUCAUGGAGUUUUGGGUCAGGUAGGCCUCUUCUUCCAAGAUUGUCUCAAGUAUGA